rnacentral:rRNA from 1 species
ACGCUGGCGGCAUGCUUUACACAUGCAAGUCGGACGGCAGCACAGAGAAGCUUGCUUCUUGGGUGGCGAGUGGCGAACGGGUGAGUAACAUAUCGGAACGUACCGAGUAGUGGGGGAUAACUGAUCGAAAGAUCAGCUAAUACCGCAUACGUCUUGAGAGGGAAAGCAGGGGACCUUCGGGCCUUGCGCUAUCCGAGCGGCCGAUAUCUGAUUAGCUAGUUGGUGGGGUAAAGGCCUACCAAGGCGACGAUCAGUAGCGGGUCUGAGAGGAUGAUCCGCCACACUGGGACUGAGACACGGCCCAGACUCCUACGGGAGGCAGCAGUGGGGAAUUUUGGACAAUGGGCGCAAGCCUGAUCCAGCCAUGCCGCGUGUCUGAAGAAGGCCUUCGGGUUGUAAAGGACUUUUGUCAGGGAAGAAAAGGCUGUUGCUAAUAUCAGCGGCUGAUGACGGUACCUGAAGAAUAAGCACCGGCUAACUACGUGCCAGCAGCCGCGGUAAUACGUAGGGUGCGAGCGUUAAUCGGAAUUACUGGGCGUAAAGCGAGCGCGGACGGUUACUUAAGCAGGAUGUGAAAUCCCCGGGCUCAACCUGGGAACUGCGUUCUGAACUGGGUGACUAGAGUGUGUCAGAGGGAGGUAGAAUUCCACGUGUAGCAGUGAAAUGCGUAGAGAUGUGGAGGAAUACCGAUGGCGAAGGCAGCCUCCUGGGAUAACACUGACGUUCAUGCUCGAAAGCGUGGGUAGCAAACAGGAUUAGAUACCCUGGUAGUCCACGCCCUAAACGAUGUCAAUUAGCUGUUGGGCAACUUGAUUGCUUAGUAGCGUAGCUAACGCGUGAAAUUGACCGCCUGGGGAGUACGGUCGCAAGAUUAAAACUCAAAGGAAUUGACGGGGACCCGCACAAGCG